rnacentral:rRNA from 1 species
AUGGAGCUGUCUAACAAAAGCAGGUACUACCACAUCUUAGGCUUCAAAAAUUUAAGAUACAUAUGGACGUGGGAGUCCACUGAUAUGUUUAGACGACUUGAAGUGAGGAUGAAUAAUGCACAUUUUAAACAUAUGGUGAUCCGAACUAUCAAACAACGUGGCACAAAGUACUGCAAGCCUCCCUGUAUGAAUUUUGAUGUCAAGCCUCACAUAUCUGAUCAACUGGGCACCAUUAUUGAUGGCAAGUCAAUUGCAGAGGACAUGAAGUUACUGAUUGCUGAACAAUUUCGUCGAAUGAAAAAGGCAGUUGCACAUGUUCCUGGAUUAGCUAUUGUAUUGAACUGCACAAAAGACGAGGUGGUGGAUUCAGCAUCAAGAUUAAGUGGAGAUCUAUCUGUUCAUCGCAUCCUUGUGCCGCUACCACUACCACAAGGGGACGAUGAGCCCGGGCUCAGAAAUGGAUAUUUGGAUGUGCAUGGGUCGAUCUGUACUCGGUUUGUCGUCUUUUACCCCUUUAAUGAUCUCGCACCUCUUUCCUCUAUAGGAAGGGAAGGUGACGGCCGAACUGCUAUGCAUCCAAGCACACUCAGCCCUUCAUUGCCUUUGGGAUUGGAGGCAAUGGCAGAUCAUAUCAAAAGCUACCCGUGCAAGGAGAUUAGAAAAACCACUGAUGGAAUGGCCGGGGAGGCUCGCCGCGAUAAGAGGACUUGUGAAUUGUGCAGAUAUUCACUAGAGGCUGAAUUGGCUGCAAUCCACGAAGGUGUUAUCUUGCCUCUCAACUGGACUGAACUCAACCUUGUGGUGGAGACUGACUGUGCUGAAGCCAAGUAA